rnacentral:rRNA from 1 species
GAACGGUAAGUAUUUACGAGCUAGCCUUGGCCGAGAGGCCCGGGUAAUCUUUGAAACUGCAUCGUGAUGGGGAUAGAUUAUUGCAAUUAUUAAUCUUCAACGAGGAAUGCCUAGUAAGCGCAAGUCAUCAGCUUGCGUUGAUUACGUCCCUGCCCUUUGUACACACCGCCCGUCGCUCCUACCGAUUGGGUGUGCUGGUGAAGUGUUCGGAUUGGCGACCGGGGGCGGUCUCCGCUCUCGGCCGCCGAGAAGUUCAUUAAACCCUCCCACCUAGAGGAAGGAGAAGUCGUAACAAGGUUUCCGUAGGUGAACCUGCGGAAGGAUCAUUGA